rnacentral:rRNA from 1 species
AAUCCAUAGGUUAAUGAGGCGAACCGGGGGAACUGAAACAUCUAAGUACCCCGAGGAAAAGAAAUCAACCGAGAUUCCCCCAGUAGCGGCGAGCGAACGGGGAGGAGCCCAGAGCCUGAAUCAGCAUGUGUGUUAGUGGAAGCGUCUGGAAAGGCGCGCGAUACAGGGUGACAGCCCCGUACACAAAAGCGCAUGUGCUGUGAGCUCGAUGAGUAGGGCGGGACACGUGGUAUCCUGUCUGAAUAUGGGGGGACCAUCCUCCAAGGCUAAAUACUCCUGACUGACCGAUAGUGAACCAGUACCGUGAGGGAAAGGCGAAAAGAACCCCGGCGAGGGGAGUGAAAAAGAACCUGAAACCGUGUACGUACAAGCAGUGGGAGCACAGGUUUACCUGUGUGACUGCGUACCUUUUGUAUAAUGGGUCAGCGACUUAUAUUCUGUAGCAAGGUUAACCGUAUAGGGGAGCCGGAGGGAAACCGAGUCUUAAUUGGGCGUUAAGUUGCAGGGUAUAGACCCGAAACCCGGUGAUCUAGCCAUGGGCAGGUUGAAGGUUGGGUAACACUAACUGGAGGACCGAACCGACUAAUGUUGAAAAAUUAGCGGAUGACCUGUGGCUGGGGGUGAAAGGCCAAUCAAACCGGGAGAUAGCUGGUUCUCCCCGAAAGCUAUUUAGGUAGCGCCUCGUGAAUUCAUCUCCGGGGGUAGAGCACUGUUUCGGCUAGGGGGCCAUCCCGGCUUACCAACCCGAUGCAAACUGCGAAUACCGGAGAAUGUUAUCACGGGAGACACACGGCGGGUGCUAACGUCCGUCGUGAAGAGGGAAACAACCCAGACCGCCAGCUAAGGUCCCAAAGUCAUGGUUAAGUGGGAAACGAUGUGGGAAGGCCCAGACAGCCAGGAUGUUGGCUUAGAAGCAGCCAUCAUUUAAAGAAAGCGUAAUAGCUCACUGGUCGAGUCGGCCUGCGCGGAAGAUGUAACGGGGCUAAACCAUGCACCGAAGCUGCGGCAGCGAACGUAUCACCCAAGACAACUUUACGGAGUUGACGAUUGACGGAGCGAAGCGACGUCAAAGCGUUCAUUAA